rnacentral:rRNA from 1 species
GACGAACCACACAAACGUUAUUCGGAAUUACUGGGCUUAAAGGGUGCGUAGGCGGCGCGGAAAGUAGGGUGUGAAAUCCCUCGGCUCAACCGAGGAAUUGCGCCCUAAACUACCGUGCUCGAGGGAGAUAGAGGUGAGCGGAACUUAGGGUGGAGCGGUGAAAUGCGUUGAUAUCCUAAGGAACACCGGUGGCGAAAGCGGCUCACUGGAUCUCUUCUGACGCUGAGGCACGAAAGCUAGGGUAGCGAAACGGG